UCUGCUUCUUGGAAGCAAGCCACUAUGAAA
rnacentral:piRNA from 1 species